rnacentral:tRNA from 1 species
GCGCCAGUAGUCUAGUAGUAGGACAUGCGCUUGCCAAGCGUAGGACCCGAGUGCGAAUCUCGGCUGGCGCA